rnacentral:lncRNA from 1 species
AACGGAAAAAGAAAAUAACCUGGAACCAGAGGCCCUAGAGAAGGUCUGUUAUUUCAAUGUCGGAAUGUACUCAGCAGCCUGCUGGGCUGAGCCCUUGCGAUUCCUCUGACUGAUGAGGACUUUCUUCCGAGGAGCCCCCAGCCCCACGCCACCCC